AUUUGUUUUCCUGAGACAAGGAUUCAUUUUUCACACAUUCCUUUGUCUUCUCAUCUUGAUUAUUAAGGGAACAUAUAUUCUUGUUAGAAGAAUAUUCUUCAGGCAUUUCCAAAUCUGAUUUAUUUUCACAAGCCAGGAAUUCAUUCCUAUGAAGUUCUUUAGCAUCUUUAAGGUUGUCCCAAAAAUAGGUUUCUCCAUAAGGUGAUAUGACAG
rnacentral:lncRNA from 1 species